rnacentral:lncRNA from 1 species
CUCCCCCUCCUCUCCCUUGCUGCCCACACUGAGGGCUCAGCCCAGAACAGGGGGGUUCUGAGUCCCAGCACACACAAUUGGGGCAGGGUCAGCUCUCACCCAGCAGCACCCCCAGGUCUUACCUGGCAGAAAUUCCCUCUAUUUUCCUAGGGAAUAAUGGAGUGAUAGACACUGGUGUUGCAGUGAAGAUGGCUGAAGAGAAGGAAAGCUGCAAACCCUCAAGAAGUUUCCCCUUCAGUGCCUGUUUUUAAGGGUUAGGCAUCUCCACCAUGAGCUGAAGCAGAUAUGAAAGGCCCUUGGUCAGGGGCUAUGAUUGCUUGCAAAGAUACCCACAGGUAACGGGAUUUGAACUGCCUGUUCCUUGACUUCUCUCUCUGCCCCUAUAGUAGCUGCAUUAAUUUUUAUCUUUAAACAUUCUUGCUAUGCAAAAAAAUCCCCACUGAUGUUACCACCUCUGAGUCAUGCCAGCAUAUUUGUGUGCUGGUAUAUUUUAGGAGCAAAGCUGGUGGAGUUCAAUAAGUAUAAAGCAGGACUUGAUAAGCAAGGUUAAAUUCCUUUCCUCAGGCUUGGAGGAUAUAUCAGUGUUGUCAGCCUGAUAGAUCAUAGAAUAUACAAUUGUGAAACCUCCUGAGCUGGAAGGAACCUACAAGGAUCACCGAGGCCAGCCCUUAGUGCUGCACAGCUCCAAGAAGGUACGCUGUCCUUUGCUUCAGAUCUGUUCUUACCCCUACAGGCACUUGGAGACCUUAUCUGCUAAAUGACAGACUCAUAUAUCACAUCUGUCUUCUCCUCUCAGGCUGUUGCACAACUAAUGACCACUGAUAUGGGAUUAAAGCAGUGUUGGAUCACCCAGCAGGACCACUGGAAACAAGCCAUGCCUGUACCUCACCAGUCUUGCCAGCCAUUCGAGACUGAGCUGAUGGAUGCAGGGCAUCACCCUGAAAGAAGGUGUACACAGGAGCUUGUGGUGGAAAUGAAUCCAUGCAGGUGCCAGAAACCAGACACUGAGACCAAAGUAGGCUUCUGAACAGGGUGAGGUACAAAGCUUGUUCCCCCAAAAAAUGAGACACCCUUUCUCUUUCUCACCCUACUGAGAAUCCACUGCCAGAAAUGUAAUGAAUAUGCUCUUCCACCUGAGGAGAUCCCAUGGAUUUAUUUUUCCCUAGCAAGAAGAGUCUUUGUGCUCCUCAUUCCUAGUCAUAUGGUUAAAUUAAUGUGUAUAUCUUUUUCUGCUUCACACUAAACUCUGCUUUCUAAACUUUGCUUUGCAAAGGAGUUGUUUUUACAUCAUCUUUUCAC